AUUGAACGCUGGCGGCAGGCCUAACACAUGCAAGUCGAACGAGUGGCGGACGGGUGAGUAAUGUCUGGGAAACUGCCCGAUGGCGGGGGAUAACUACUGGAAACGGUAGCUAAUACCGCACCAUCGGAUGUGCCCAGAUGGGAUUAGCUAGUAGGUGGGGUAACGGCUCACCUAGGCGACGAUCCCUAGCUGGUCUGAGAGGAUGACCAGCCACACUGGGACUGUGAAACGGUCCAGAAUCCUACGGGAGGCAGCAGUGGGGAAUAUUGGACAAUGGGCGCAAUCCUGAUGCAGCCAUGCCGCGUGUAUGAAGAAGGCCUUCGGGUUGUAAAGUACUUUCGGCAAGGAAGCGGUACUUGCAGAAGAAGCACCGGCUAACUCCGUGCCAGCAGCCGCGGUAAUUC
rnacentral:rRNA from 1 species